rnacentral:rRNA from 1 species
UACGAAGGGCGCAAGCGUUGCCCGGAUUCAUUGGGCGUAAAGAGCUCGUAGGCGGCUUGUUGCGUCGACCGUGAAAACCCGUGGCUCAACUUCGGGCUUGCGGUCGAUACGGGCGGGCUAGAGUUCGGUAGGGGAGACUGGAAUUCCUGGUGUAGCGGUGAAAUGCGCAGAUAUCAGGAGGAACACCGGUGGCGAAGGCGGGUCUCUGGGACGAUACUGACGCUGAGGCGCGAAAGCGUGGGGAGCGAACAGG